rnacentral:rRNA from 1 species
AGGACGAACGCUGGCGGCGUGCUUAACACAUGCAAGUCAAGGGGGCCCAGCAAUGGGCAACCGGCGAACGGGUGCGUAACACGUGAGCAACCUACCGAAAUGUGGGGGAUAGCCGGCCUAACGGCCGAGUAAUACCGCAUACGCUCUCGAUGAGGCAUUUCAUUGAGAGGAAACCUACGGGACAUUUCGAGGGGCUCGCGGCCUAUCAGCUAGUUGGAGAGGUAACGGCUCACCAAGGCAACGACGGGUA